rnacentral:rRNA from 1 species
AACGAACGCUGGCGGCAGGCUUAACACAUGCAAGUCGAACGCCCCGCAAGGGGAGUGGCAGACGGGUGAGUAACGCGUGGGAACAUACCCUUUUCUACGGAAUAGCUCUGGGAGACUGGAAUUAAUACCGUAUACGCCCUACGGGGGAAAGAUUUAUCGGGGAAGGAUUGGCCCGCGUUGGAUUAGCUAGUUGGUGGGGUAAAGGCCUACCAAGGCGACGAUCCAUAGCUGGUCUGAGAGGAUGAUCAGCCACAUUGGGACUGAGACACGGCCCAAACUCCUACGGGAGGCAGCAGUGGGGAAUAUUGGACAAUGGGCGCAAGCCUGAUCCAGCCAUGCCGCGUGAGUGAUGAAGGCCUUAGGGUUGUAAAGCUCUUUCACCGAUGAAGAUAAUGACAGUAGUCGGAGAAGAAGCCCCGGCUAACUUCGUG